CCUACGGGUGACUGCAGUGAGGAAUAUUGGUCAAUGGACGAGAGUCUGAACCAGCCAAGUAGCGUGAAGGAUGACUGCCCUAUGGGUUGUAAACUUCUUUUAUAUGGGAAUAAAAUGUUCCACGUGUGGGAUUUUGUAUGUACCAUAUGAAUAAGGAUCGGCUAACUCCGUGCCAGCAGCCGCGGUAAUACGGAGGAUCCGAGCGUUAUCCGGAUUUAUUGGGUUUAAAGGGAGCGUAGGUGGAUUGUUAAGUCAGUUGUGAAAGUUUGCGGCUCAACCGUAAAAGUGCAGUUGAAACUGGCAGUCUUGAGUACAGUAGAGGUGGGCGGAAUUCGUGGUGUAGCGGUGAAAUGCUUAGAUAUCACGAAGAACUCCGAUUGCGAAGGCAGUUCACUGGACUGCAACUGACACUGAGGCUCGAAAGUGUGGGUAUCAAACAGGAUUAGAUACACUGGUAGUC
rnacentral:rRNA from 1 species